rnacentral:ncRNA from 1 species
CGGCCUGAGGUCGGACGAGGCUACCCGCUGAAUUUAAGCAUAUUACUAAGCGGAGGAAAAGAAACUAACGAGGAUUCCCUCAGUAACGGCGAGUGAAGCGGGACGAGCCCAGCGCCGAAUCCGGCCGCUUAUGGAGCGGACGGAAUUGUGGCGUAUGGAAUUCGCUUCGAGCGCGGACCGGCUGCCCACGUCCUUCUGAUCGAGGCUUCAUCCCAUAGCGGGUGUCAGGCCCUUGGCGGCGGCUGGCCCGGGCUCUCGGUGUCUUCCCGGAGUCGGGUUGUUUGGGAAUGCAGCCCAAAGCAGGGUGGUAAACUCCAUCUAAGGCUAAAUACGGUCACGAGA